GACGAACGCUGGCGGCGUGCUUAACACAUGCAAGUCGAACGGGCCCGCUCUCUUUUUUGGGGGUGGGUUGAGUGGCGAACGGGUGAGUAUCACGUGAGUAACCUGCCCCCUGCUCCUGGAUAACUGCUUGAAAGGGCGGCUAAUACGGGGUGUGCCGGCUGGUCCGCAUGGGCCUGGUCGGGAUAGUUUCAUCUUCGGGUGUUUCGGUGGGGGAUGGGCUCGCGGCCUAUCAGCUUGUUGGUGGGGGGAUGGCCCACCAAGGCGGUGACGGGUAGCCGGCCUGAGAGGGUGGGCGGCCACACUGGGACUGAGACACGGCCCAGACUCCUGCGGGAGGCAGCAGUGGGGGGUAGUGCACAAUGGGCGGAAGCCUGAUGCAGCGACGGCGCGUGAGGGAUGGAGGCCUUCGGGUGGUGAACCUCUUUCUCCGGUGGUGAAGGCCCUGUCCGUUGCGGCGGGGUUGACGGUAGCCGGGUAUGAAGCGCCGGCUAACUACGUG
rnacentral:rRNA from 1 species